CACGGGAGAAAACGGCCGGUGGCUCCGGCACGAUGCCCCAGGGGCCGGGCUUGUCUCACGCGGAGAUCGGCCGAGUCACCCUCCCACCACAAGUGGCUGCAGGUUGCGGCAGCUGCUGGGCCGUGGCCGGCAGCACGGGCUGGGACCAGCUGUACGGCACAGAGAGAAGUAAGUAGGGUUUGGACAUCAUGACCGUUGGGCUCUCUCAAGGAAUGUCAAUAAAACACACUUUCAGAGAAACAGGCUAUAAUGUCAUAUGAGAACACAUCCCAGGAGUCUCUAUGAAGAGAACCGAAACCCCAUAACAUUAAGCCAAUCAAGUAGAG